rnacentral:rRNA from 1 species
AUGGAAACGGAGUUUGCGACAAUUGUACUGUAUGACCACGACUAUGUGAACAACAUUUCGAUUCAGAAGCAACUAGUCGGCAAGGACAUGCCUUACGAUAUAACCUCAUCUCAGAUGUUCUUCCUGCCAGUACCCCUCGAAGCUGGAUGGGUUUUAUUGAUGUGGGACAUGAUGUCGAGGAAGAUUCAUUUUUUGGACCCGAAGAUCAGAUGGAAUGGCCCUGAUGAUUUCACAAAAGAUAAGCAUGAACUUAUUGCAUGGAAGCUUCACCAUACGUUAUUCCUGUGCCAGAAUGAGUAUUAUGCUGGAUGGCCAACCCAGGAUGGUCAUUGGGGAACGGUUUACCCAGUAGUAGCCGAAGAAACAUUCCUCAGAGAUAACUCGCUCAUAGAUGCUUACAUGGAUUAA